rnacentral:misc_RNA from 1 species
GUGGUGUGGUCUAUGUUGUUUCGGUAAGGUGACAAAAUAUAAUUAUUUCCCUGCAUUUAACUUGACUCUUUUGGAGUUUGAAGAAAUUUCCAACUCAAAUAUAUGAUUGAUGAAUUUCUUUUGUUUCUUAAGAACUUUUUUUGUUUCCUAAGAAAAAGGAAAAUAAUAAUUAUUGCAAUUUUAAUUUUCAGGGAAUUCUAUAUAUUGGCCUUCUCAAACGAGCACGCUAACUAUUAACAUGGAAAGAAAUGAUAUGUUUUAAUUUUGUGAUGGAGUUCAUUAAGGUUCUUGUUCAUGAUUCACUUCCAAGCUUGAAUAUGCAUAUUGUUAUUGUUUUAUGCAAUUAUGCUCCAGGAAAUAUGAGUUCAUAGAUCUCUAUAAGUGGCUCAUUUGCUGUGCUUUUCUUCUGCAAAUACAGAAAUAGUCCUCACCUACUAUCCUAGAAUAGUGGAAGGUAGGCCAACAUGAUGAGAUGAAUGAUAUGAUUUUACUUUGUUUCUUUAAGAUUUUUUUUUUUUUUUAAUGCAAUCCCUUAAAUGAGGACCACAUGUUUUACUGAUUUACAAAAUUAUAAGUAAAAAAUUUGUUCUCUGUGAAGCUCAUGCAUGCCUUACGCAGAGAUUGUAAAUCACAAAGGUGAAUGUUGAAAGGUUCUCAUGAAUAAUCAAUAUAAACAUUAUGGUGAUUAUGGCAAUCAGUAACUGAGGUCAGUGUUAAUCUAUUUCUCCAUUUUACUGAUUAAGGUUACAGCAUUUGGGGUUUUAAUUUAAUGUUACAAGCCAUAUUUCAAAACUGUAGACCUGAUAAUUGUACACUGUGAAUUUGCUUGCCCAAUAGGUAGCACAAACGUAUGCAACUGGUUUUAAUAGACUUUUUUCCUUAAAAAAAAAAAAAAUUAUUUACGGAUAUUUGUUUGACAAAAUGUCAUUUGUUACUGGGAUUCCGUGUAUUAACUAACAUGGAUUAAAAGCACAGCAAUUGAAGCGGCGGUGAGAGGAACUUGAACAAUUGCUCAUGGCGGAAAGAAUUUGACGCCAUUUUUGCUUACUGUUGUUC